GACGAACGCUGGCGGCGUGCUUAACACAUGCAAGUCGAACGGAAAGGCCCUGCUUUUGUUGGGUGCUCGAGUGGCGAACGGGUGAGUAACACGUGUGUAACCUGCCCUUGACUGUGUGAUAACUUCAGGAAACUGGGGCUCAUAUCGGAGAGGAGCUCCUGCUGCAUGGUGGGGGUUGGUAAGAUUCGGCGGUUGGGGAUGGACUCGCGGCUUAUCAGCUUGUUGGUGUGGUAGUGGCUUACCAAGGCUUUGACGGGUAGCCGGCCUGAGAGGGUUACCGGCGACAUUGGGACUGAGAGACGGCCCAGAAUCCUACGGGAGGCAGCAGUGGGGAGUAUUGCAGAGUGGGGGGGAGCCAGAUGCGGCAACGCCGCGUGCGGGAUGACGGGCUUCGGGUUGUAAACCAAUUUCGCCUGUGACGAAGAGUGAGUGACGGUAAUGGGUAAAGAAGCACCGGCUAACUACGUG
rnacentral:rRNA from 1 species